GACGAACGUUGGCGGCGUGCUUAACACAUGCAAGUCGAACGGAAAGGCCCUGCUUUUGUGGGGUGCUCGAGUGGCGAACGGGUGAGUAACACGUGAGUAACCUGCCCUUGACUUUGGGAUAACUUCAGGAAACUGGGGCUAAUACCGGAUAGGAGCUCCUGCUGCAUGGUGGGGGUUGGAAAGUUUCGGCGGUUGGGGAUGGACUCGCGGCUUAUCAGCUUGUUGGUGGGGUAGUGGCUUACCAAGGCUUUGACGGGUAGCCGGCCUGAGAGGGUGACCGGCCACAUUGGGACUGAGAUACGGCCCAGACUCCUACGGGAGGCAGCAGUGGGGAAUAUUGCACAAUGGGCGGAAGCCUGAUGCAGCAACGCCGCGUGCGGGAUGACGGCCUUCGGGUUGUAAACCGCUUUCGCCUGUGACGAAGCGUGAGUGACGGUAAUGGGUAAAGAAGCACCGGCUAACUACGUGCCAGCAGCCGCGGUGAUACGUAGGGUGCGAGCGUUGUCCGGAUUUAUUGGGCGUAAAGGGCUCGUAGGUGGUUGAUCGCGUCGGAAGUGUAAUCUUGGGGCUUAACCCUGAGCGUGCUUUCGAUACGGGUUGACUUGAGGAAGGUAGGGGAGAAAUGGAAUUCCUGGUGGAGCCGGUGGAAUGCGCAGAUAUCAGGAGGGAACACCAGUGGCGAAGGCCGGUUCUCUGGGGCCUUUCCUGACGCUGAGGAGCGAAAGCGUGGGGAGCGAACAGGCUUUAGAUACCCUGGUAGUCCACGCUGUAAACGGUGGGUACUAGGUGUGGGGUCCAUUCCACGGGUUCCGUGCCGUAGCUAACGCUUUAAGUACCCCGCCUGGGGAGUACGGCCGCAAGGCUAAAACUCAAAGGAAUUGACGGGGCCCCGCACAAGCGGCGGAGCAUGCGGAUUAAUUCGAUGCAACGCGUAGAACCUUACCUGGGUUUGACAUGGAUCGGGAGUGCUCAGAGAUGGGUGUGCCUCUUUUGGGGUCGGUUCACAGGUGGUGCAUGCCUGCCGUCAGCUCGUGUCGUGAGAUGUUGGGUUAAGUCCCGCAACGAGCGCAACCCUUGUUCACUGUUGCCAGCACGUUAUGGUGGGGACUCAGUGGAGACCGCCGGGGUCAACUCGGAGGAAGGUGGGGAUGACGUCAAGUCCUCAUGCCCCUUAUGUCCAGGGCUUCACGCAUGCUACAAUGGCUGGUACAGAGAGUGGCGAGCCUGUGAGGGUGAGCGAAUCUCGGAAAGCCGGUCUCAGUUCGGAUUGGGGUCUGCAACUCGACCUCAUGAAGUCGGAGUCGCUAGUAAUCGCAGAUCAGCAACGCUGCGGUGAAUAUGUUCCCGGG
rnacentral:rRNA from 1 species